UCGAGUUGAUCCUGCUCGAGGUCACUGCUAUUGGGGUCUGAUUAAGACAUGCACGUCUCGGAUACGAUUAAGGUCCGGGCAACUAGCUCAGUAACACGUGGAUAAUCUAGCUUAAGGAGAUGGAUAACCUCGGGAAACUGAGGACAAAACGACAUAGGAGGCGAGUACUGGAAUGUCCGCCUCUGAAAUAUGAAAGCCUGUAUUCGGCUUAAUGCCUUAAGAUGAGUCUGCGGCGGAUUAGCCUGACGGUAGGGUAAUGGCCUACCGUAGCUAUGAUCCGUACCGGCCAUGGGAGUGGGAGCCGGGAGAUGGACACUGAGACAAUGGUCCAGGCUCUACGGAGUGCAGCAGUCGCGAAACCUUUGCAAUGUACGUAAGUAUGACAAGGGGACCCCAAGUGCGCAUGUACAGCAUGCGCUUUUGUGGAGUGUAAAAAGCUCCAAGAAUAAGGGCUGGGUAAGACUGGUGCCAGCCUCCGCGGUAACACCAGCAGCUCAAGUGGUGAUCGCGUUUACUGGGUUUAAAGCGUACGUAGUCUGUUCAGUCAGUUUUCUGUGAAAUCCCACAGCUCAACUGUGGGAAUUGCAGAGAAUACUGCUGGACUCGAGACCGGGGCAGGCGUGGGGUAUUCUGGGGGUAGCGGUGAAAUGCUAUAAUCCCCGGAGGACCACCAGUAGCGAAGGCGCCACGCCGGAACGGGUCUGACGAUGAGGUACGAGAGCUAGGGGAGCGAACAGGAUUAGAUACCCUGGUAGUCCUAGCCGUAAACGAUGCAGGUUUAGUGUUCCCUGAAUCUCGUGUUCAGGGAGUGCUGAAGGGAAACCGUUAAACCUGCCACCUGGGGAGUACGGUCGCAAGGCUGAAACUUAAAGGAAUUGGCGGGGGAACACCACAAGGGGUGGAUGCUGCGGUUCAAUUGGAUACAACGCUGGGAAACUUACCAGGUGCGACGGCAUAAUGAGGGCCAGGCUGAAGGUCUUGCCUGAAGAGCCGAGAGGUAGUGCAUGGCCGUCGUCAGCUCGUACCGUGAGGCGUACGGUUAAGUCCGUUAACGAGCGAGACCCGUGCCAUUAUUUGCAACCUUCGAGGAUACUUGGGGGGCACUAUAGUGGGACUGCAUGCGAUGAGUGUGAGGAAGGCGCGGGCAACGGUAGGUCAGUAUGCUCCGAAUCACCUGGGCUACACGCGGCAUACAAUGGCAGGUACAAUGGGUUGCAAUACCGAGAGGUAGAGCUAAUCCCCUAAAACCUGUCCCAGUACGGAUUGAGGGUUGAAACCCACCCUCAUGAAGGUGAAAUCCCUAGUAAUCGCUUUUGACCAUAAAGCGGUGAAUAUGUCCCUGUUCCUUGCACACACCGCCCGUCAAACCAAUCGAGUGGAUUUGAGAUGAGGCGUUCUCUUUUUAGGGCGUGUCGAAUCUCGGGUUUGCGAGAGGGGUUAAGUCGUAACAAGGUA
rnacentral:rRNA from 1 species